rnacentral:tRNA from 1 species
UAUAGAGUGCCUGAAAAAGGAUAAUUUUGAUAGAAUUAAUCAUGUAUACCCCCUAUACCUCUAUAA